rnacentral:rRNA from 1 species
GGUCAGUAGGUUGGUCGUGCCACCGGUACGUACUGGUCUCACUGAUUCCUCCUUCCUGAAGAACCGUAAUGCCAUUAAUUUGGUGUUGCGGGGAAACAGGACUGUUACUUUGAAAAAAUUAGAGUGUUUAACGCAAGCUAACGCUUGAAUACAUUAGCAUGGAAUAAUGAAAUAGGACGAUCGAUCCUAUUUUGUUGGUUUCUAGGAUUGACGUA